UUCAGUUUGAAUUUCCGCAGUUUAGUGGGUUCGGCAGUUCUGCCAGCAGGGAGCGCUGUCUCCAGUGAACCGUGAGUCAGGUGCAGCCUGCACGUCCCGCACCGACCACAGACGGGACUGAGCCCGCCUCUCUGACCCACGGCGCACGCGCGUUCCACCGGUCUCGCCUCAGCGCGCCGCUGACGGGAGUUCGUCUCAGGCGCCGCCAGAGCUUGUGCGGGGAUGGCCGGGUCAGCGUCUCUGCUGACAGGAGCUGAGUCUCCGUUAGACUCGCCGGGGCUUGGGCUUCAGGACAACACGGGGCUGUGUCCAUGCUGACAGGAGCUGGGUUUCCUGACGACCCAGGAGACGCCAGGAGGAAGAGUGGUUCUGCAGGCUCGCCAGUUAGCAUGGGCUCCAGGGAACUGAGAGGUUGAGGUCUGCAUUUCCCAGCUGGCCAGCAGGUGGCACCAAGCCCACCUCUGAUCCUUGAGGUACAUGUGUGUUCCACUGGUGGACUUGGCUCAUGAAGGAACUUGGCUACUUGUGCCGCUGAUAGAAGCUCAGUCUCUUCAGGAUCCACCAUGGUUUCAGCUUUGGGACAACACUUGGCUGAGUCCAUGCAGACAGAAACCCAGUGUCUUCAGGAACCACCAGGAGGCACCACCUUGGGAGUAAAAGGUUUCAGGAAAAUCGCUUUGCCUGGCUGGGGAAAGAAGAGGACCCCCCAAAUCGUCCGAAGUCCUUGGGUCCUUGUAGCUGGUUGUAUAGAGAACUGGACACAUGCCAAAUGGGCAUUUGGCCUCCCUGCUCGAUCACCUGUAACCAAGCAGGGACAAGCCCUCUUUGAACAGUCUCCUUGAAUGCUGGAGAGGCUCUCUGGGUAAUUUAUUUGGCUAGAGAACCCUUAUUUCCCCCUGCACCUUCACCCUAUCUCCAGGGACUGCUUGCUGAAAGCACCCACCUACAUCAGGUAUCUCCUACAGCCCCACAGUGGGAAUGUCUAAUUGCUGACUUAAGAGGGGAUCUGGGACUUUCCUGGUGGCGCAGUGGUUAAGAAUCUGCCUGCCAGUGCAGGGGACACGGAUUCGAGCCCUGGUCUGGGAAGAUCCCACAGGUUCACACGAAGGUGAACCUGGAGUCAGUGGAACGGUAGGCCAUUCUUAAGUCCCACAUGCCGUGGAGCAACUAAGCCUGUGCGCCACAACUACUGAGCCUGCGCUCUAGAGCCCGUGAGCCACAACUACUGAAGCCCGUGCACCUAGAGCCCGUGCUCCACAACAAGAGAAGCCACCUCAAUGAGAAGCUCGUGCACUGUAACGAAGCCCCCACUCGCCACAACUAGAGAAAGCCCGCGGGCAGCAACGAAGACCCAAUCAGCCAAAAAAAAAAAAAAGAGAGAGAGAGAGGGGACCUUAUAACUAAGGCCCUCUUAGACAGCAUCUCCCCUUCCAUCCCCCACAAAGAUUGGUCCACGUUUCAGUUAGACCACCUAGAUCACUUGGUGUGGGCUAGAUCUUGUGGGAUCUGCAUCGCCACCAACCCUAGGAGGAGGCCACUGGGAAGUUGGAAACAGACUAGAAAUAAGGACUCCCCAGUAGGGGUAACCAAGCCUCUAUCCCAGCGAAAUCGCCACUAGGGUGCAUCCUCCAUAACUAGAAAUUACCGCCCACUAACAAACAGCUUCUUUUCUUUUGCAACAUCACAUGGCCCCAGUAUAAACUGGUGGAUGGAGAAAGUUGUUGGCCAACUAAUGGCUUUCUAAAUUAUAAUCCCAUUUUUCAAUUGGACCUCUAUUGCCAGCAUUUGAAAAAUAUGGGACGAGAUCCCCUAUGUCCAAUUUUUCGUGGUGCUUUGUGAAAACAAGGGCCUCCGUGAGAAAUGCAAGGUUAUCUCUAAUCUCUCUCUCUCCUGGUACUAGAAUCUCAGCCUGAAGAUCCUCUUGACUUCCUCUCUCUGCCAAGGGUAGCUUCUCCCCCUUCUGACAGUUCACCCGAGACUCCUGAGUCAUCGAUCCCUACCUGACCUGGUUCCCUGACACCUUCUACUCCCUCUUAUUCACAACCACCCUACCUGGUUCCCUUGCCACCUCCCCGACUCUACCACCUCCAUCUCUUGGCGUGCCUCCCUUGGGGACUAGUCCAGUUCACACCCGUAGCGGCAUUCAGUACCAGCCCUCUGGAAGCAAUAGGCUCUUCCCCCUUUCGGAGGACCCUAAUGGAGAGGGCAGACUGACCACUGUGUAUGUACCCUUAUCUUCCUCAGAUCUAUGUAACUGGAAGGAUCGAUCCAAGGGUUUGAAAGAAUAUACCAAGGGGGUCCUUAAUUUAGUCUGGGGAAUAUUCCACACUCCUUUCCCCACUUGGGUGGAUGUCCAAACCCUCCUGAACAUCGUAUUCUCUGUAGAAGAAAAGACACUGAUUAUAACUAAUGCACCUGAGGAAGCUGAUAAGACCAAGCAAAAUAAUGCAGGACAAGCUCUAUACCAGCCUUGAAUCCAGGCCAUUCCCUACAUGGACCCUGCGUGGGACCAUUAAGAGGGAAAUGGUCAGCAGCACCUCACACAUUUCAGGGAUUUGAUUCUGAAGGGCAUUCAGUGGGCUGGGAAGAAACCCAUAAAUUGGAGUAGGGUUCAGGGAGUCAUCCAGGGACUGAAGGAAAACCCCUGGCUUUCCUGGAAUGCCUAAGGGCGUGCCUUUGUGGGUACACGAAGGUGAACCUAGAGUCAGUGGAACGGUAGGCCAUUCUUAAGUCCCAUUUCACUUCCCAGAGCACCCCAGACAUUAGGAGAAAAUUACCGAAGUUGGAGAUAGGGCGCACUACGCCUUCUUCCUGGGGUGGAGUCAGCAUUUCGGGUGUUCAACAACCAGGAUCUGGAGGCAGAUGCCAAGGUAGAUAGACCAGUGGAACCAACUGCCAGUAUUCUGGCUUCAGCAAUUCAGGGUCAGUCAACCUCCCAGUGAUGAUGGGGCCUCCCCCAAAGGGACCCUGUGACAUCGAGUCACCCCAGGUUUUGAAGACCACACCCACAGUGGAGAGAGGGGCUCAGAGCCAGUCCGUGUGCAUACUGCAGGGAGGAGGGCCACGGGGAGGGGGAUGCCCCAGACGUCUCAGAAGGAAGCUAAAGGGACCACUGUGUCCUGGCCCAUCCUUGCUGGUCGCACACAUGAAAGAAGAGGAGGACUGAAGGGGCCCAGGGGCUCCUUGGAGAAGCCCUGGCUGACCCUGACUGUGGGGGUAAAACACACUUUCUAGUCGACACAGGGGCCAUCUACUCAGUCUUGAACACCCGACAAGGCAGAAUGACCAAGGAUAAAUGUAAGAUAAUGGGAGUGGAAGGGAAGCCACAGGAACAUAAUUUUAUAGAGCCCCUUGAGUGCGAUUUGAAAGGGAGAAUGUUAUCUCACUCUUAUAUGCACCAGAAUGCCCAAUUCCCCUAAUAGGAAAAGACUUAUUAUACAAAUUGGGAGCUACAAUUUAUCUCUGAGACAAAAACCUUACCACUGAAAAGCCCAGAAUACCCAAGGUGGAUGAUUAACAGUCAUGGGCAGCUGUUCCUCUCAUCAGCCACUGCACUGCAGGCCAUCCUGGAAGCUCACCAGAGGACACAUUAUGGGCAGGAGGCCCUAUAUCAAUGGCUCAUCGGGGACUUCCCUGGUGGUCCACUGGCUAAGACUCUGUGCUCCCAGUGCAGGGGGCCUGGGUUUGAGCCCUGUCAGGGAACUAGAUCCCACAUGCUGCAACUAAGAGUUCGCAUGCCACAACUAAAGAUCCUGCACGUUGCAACGAAGAUCCCACGUGCCACAACUAAGACCCAGCACAGCCAAAUAAAUAUAUAUUUUUUUAAUGGCUCAUCAAAUCCAUGACUGCCCCCAAUUUCCAUAGUCUCCUUAAACAGGUGGUUGAAGCUUGCCCUAUCUGCCUCCAGAAUAAGCCCAACACAAACCACCAACCAAGGUCAAGGGAGUGACCCCCACCCAGCAUAGAGGCACAUAUCCAGUCAAGACUGGCAACCUGAUUUUACAGUAAUGCCCUGGACACAAGGCAAUUUUAGAUACUUGCUGGUUUUGACUGACACCUUCUCCGGCUGGAUGGAAGCAUUCCCCACCUGAGCCGAGAUUGCGAGACUGUCUGGGAGGUCUCUAAGGCCCUGUUCAAGGAAAUAAUCCCUCAGUUUGGGCUUCCUAAGUCCAUCCAGAAUGACAGUGGGCCUGCCUUUGUUUCCCAAAUUACUAAGGGAGUCGCUAGAGCUCUAGGAAUUAAAUGGGGUUUACAUUCCACUUGGAGAUGACAAUCCUCAAGAAAAGCAGAAUAAAUCAAACCCUCAAAAGAAACUUAGCCAAACCAUGUCAAGACAGUCAUCAACCCUGGAUCUCCCUUCUCCCCAUAGCACUUUUGAGACUGCGAAUAGCCCCUAAAGGAAAGCUCAGGUUAAGUCCAUAUGAGCCCAUGUACAGGAGGCCCAUUCCUGAAGGACCCGGCUCCAAGACCAAUCUUAGGGAUAUGGACCGGCAGAAAUACACCUUACAGACAGGGGAAAUAAUCAAAGCUUUACAUGCCUACGGGAAUCCGGAACUGCCUUCCCCUUCGGACAGGGUUUUACAUCCUUUCUCCCCUGAAAAUGGGUUUAUUUGAAAACCUGGAAGGCUGGAAAUCCACAAGACCAGUUAGACCCCAAGUGGACAGGACCUUAUCUAGUAAUCUGGACUACUUAUUCUGCUUUACAAUUACAGGGCAUAACUCCAUGGGCCCACCAUACCAGAGUGAAAACAGCACCUACACCUAAGGAAGAAGUUACUGAGCCAUCCACUCAAAGCACCUGUGAACCUGUCACAGACCUUAAGUUACUUUUCAAAAGGACUAACUUACCAAUAGAUAAGUAAUGUGGUGGCAGGCUUAGUAGUUGGCCUUGUCAUUGCUAUUGCCUUACUUGGCUUCUGCUGUUCUGCCAAACUCCCUCCCUCUGGCAGACAUCUCUGUCCAUGCUGGAUAUCAGGGAUAUUAACGUUGGAAGCAGGAUGAGUAGCCAUCAUUGUCUGUUCUCUCAUCUUCUCUGCUCUCUUACAACUGUCCACAUGGAAUGGGAACUCAGUGCACUAGUAAAUUUCUCACGGAGUAUAGCCCAUGGACAAAGUCUAUCCCAGUGCUGGUCUGUCACCCCCAUCCACAAAGUGAUGCCUAUGGAUUAAAGGUAUUACAUGUUACCCCUAAGAAUGACAGCCUCACUCUCACCUUGGCUAACGAGUCUGCUAAACCUUCCCCACUUGAAGUUCAUAUCCCAUCCCUAAUGCAGCUUACCUGCUUGGACCUCACCCCUUGCAUUAACAUCUCUAACAAAUACAAAGCCCUCGCUCUAAAGUGCCAUCACUCUAACCAGUCUCUGUCUCGCUGCCACUGCCCCUGUCAGCAGCCCUUACCAAAGGGAGGGACUUGCAAUAACACCGGUGGCUGCUCUGGACUCUGAUCACUGCUUCUUCUACUACCCCACAAUUUAAGUGCCCCAGGACUGACUCCUAUGGAAAUCUCACCCAUUGGUGCCCUCUGCACUAACUCAAUGAAUACACACAGGGACCAGAUGGGAGAUGUACUUACUGGGGAGGGAAGACACCGGUUGUCUGGGGUUUAGUAAGUGGCCCUCCUGAGGUCUGGGGAAAAGCCACUAGUCCAGAAUCCCCCAGUAACCCCUGCUAUGCAGAUGGGCUUCUCUCCCCACACUGCAAGGGCACCCCCUCUUGGCCUAGCCACUUACAGAGGUGGUUCAAUUCCUCAGAGGUGCACCAGGCAUGCACGCCCCUUGGGUACCUGUUUCUUUGUGGCCCAAGAGUAAACCAACUGCCACAUCAGAACAACCCCAAUGCCUUCCCUUUUCCAGGGUGGGCUCUAGCCUACCGUUGCUUAGAUAAUGCCCAAUUUGUGCACAAUGCAUGCUAGGCCAGCUAAGUUCGAGGAACCUAGUAUAACCAUUCAUAAUAUCACCCAGCCCCAAGAUACAAGGGCAAGAGAACUCACUCUGGCAGGAGUAGGGACUGCUCUGGACUGGCGGCCUCCUGAGGAGGUUUCGCAUACCAUGAAAUCACGCUACAGAAUCUCACGCGGGCCCUUGAGGACUUGUCUAAAAAUACAGGGGACGCCUUACAAGGACUCUGUACUUCUCUGGACUCACUAGCAAAUGUUGUUCUCGACAACAGGCAAGCCCUUGACGACCUCCUGGCUGAGCAAGGGGGAGUCUGUGCAGUUAUGAAUGAAACCUGCUGCAAGUAUGUCAGUAACUGGUCAGAUUGAGGUCAACAUAAAGGAGAUAUAUGAGCAAGCUCAAUGGUAACAUAGAUAAACACACAAAGUCCAGAUCCAAGCUCCAUCUGGAAUAUGGUCAAACAGAGCCUCCCCAGCUUAACCUGGUUUCCUCCAUUUCCUGGCCCACUACGCUAUCAUCCUCUGCUCAUCUUCGGGCCUUGCCUCCUCAACUGCCUUGUCAACUUCGUUAGCAUAUGGCUUGAAGCCAUCAAACUUCAGAUGAUACAUACACAAGGGUACAAGCAACUGGGACUACAGCCUGGUGACCAUCAGACAUAUUUUAGGCAACACAGGGAACAGUUCUGCUCCUCUAAUCCAGGGGAAAACUCUGCCCAUGUUCAGCAGGAAGCAGCUUCCGAAGGCAGAGCAUUGCCCUUCGGCGCCCCUCAAGAAUGAGAAGCAGGAACAGAAAAGGGGGGGGUUUUGUUGCCAGAGCUGUGCCAGUUCUUUGCUCAAAACCCACCAACCCCCGCUUGAACAGGAAUUAACGUGUAUCUUUAAGUCACAGGGUCUGGAGACAAAAGAAGGAAGCUAUAGGAAGAGAGAAACACCAGAUAGAACCAGCUGGAACAAAGGUGGCAACGAAUCUGACCUCCAACAGACCCUCAGUCACAUUCUGCUGAGUUGACUACAUUGGCUACUAGAUGACACACGUACUGGUGGCCCUGACUGGAAGAUGCGGACCAAGAAAGGAUAAAAAGGGUGCGGCUCCCCUUUGCAGGAAAGUCCUGCCCCUUCCCUAGACGAAUGCAUGUGCCUCCCCAUCAUUAGCCUCACUCCUCCUGCCUUUGUCUUUACUCUUUAAAAUCGAAUCCCUCUUACCACAUGGGUAAGAUGAUCUGUGAACUAAGUUCCCAAUUCUCCAUUCCUUGGCCAAAGAAUAAAACUUGGCCUGCAUCAAUCUGAGCUUCAGUUUCGUUUUUGUGGCUGCACAAACCCGAACUAGCAUCUAUUCUAUAGUUUCUAUUAAUUCUUUUAAUUCUUGUCCUUAUACCAAUAACAAGCAUUAUUGAAAAUAACCUCCUAAAAAGAAGACUCUUUGGGGAGUUCCCCAGUGGCCUAGUGGUUAGGAGUCCCAGCUUUCACUGCCGUGGCCCCGGGUUCAAUCCCUGGUCAGGGAGCUGAGAUCCCGCAAGCCACAUGGUGCAGCCAAAAGAAUAAAAAGAAAAAAAAGACUCUCUGCAGUCUAUUUAUUACCCUGGUUUUGUAAAUCAGAGAAGGAGAGGGAAUUCCCUGGCAGUCCAGUGGUUAGGACUCAGUGCUUUCACUGAUGGGGCCCAGGUUCAAUCCCUGGUUGGGGAACUAAGAUCCUGCAAGUCGUGCAGUGUGGGUAAGAAGGAAAGAAAGAAAGGAAGGAAGAAAGAAAGUUUUUAAAAAUAAAAUACAAUAAGGAAGGAAGGAAUUGAAUCCUUGUCAGCUGGUGUCAAGCCAAUACCACAACCAUUAUGUCUUUCUCAAUAAGUGAGAUACCAGUAAAAAGAAUUACAUAACGUCGUAAAAGUUAAGUCAUAGGCCAAAAUCCUGUAUAACACUAUGGCAUAUCCAUUUCAUCUAGGCUCUCAGGAUGCAACAUCACCUAUUAUGGAAGAACUUUUACAUCUUCAUGAUCACAUGUUAAUAAUCAGUUUCUGGAUAAGUUCUCUAGUCCUCUAUAUUAUUUUACUAAUAUUGACAACUAAACUGACUCAUACACGUAUGCUAGAUGCACAAGUAGAGCUAACCAUUUACCAGCCACCAUUCUAAUCUUAACUGCCUUAUCGUCAUUUCCUUUACGUGAUACAUGAAAUCAAUAACUCUCCCCUAACAUAAAAUCUACAAGUCAUGAAUGAUACUGAAGCUACAAAUACACAGAUUAUGAAGAUUUAAAUUUAGACUCCUCAGGACUUCCCUGGUGGCGCAGUGGUUAAGAAUCCGCCUGCCAAUGCAGGGGACACGGGUUCAUGCCCUGGUCUGGGAAGAUCCCACAUGCCGCGGAGCAACUAGGCCCGUGAGCCAUGGCCGCUGAGCCUGCGCGUCUGGAGCCUGUGCUCCGCAACAAGAGAGGCCGCGACAGUGAGAGGCCCGUGCACCGCGAUGAAGAGUGGCCCCCGCUCGCUGCAACUAGAGAAAGCCCUUGCACAGAAACGAAGACCCAACACAGCUAAAAAUAAAAAUAAAUAAAUAAAAAAUUUUUUUUAAAAAGAGAAUUUCCAUUUGAAAUCCUAUAACUUAAAAAAAUGGUUAAGAUGGUAAAUUUUAUGUUAUGUGCAUUUGACCACAAUUUUUAAAACUUAAAAACAGUAAAUAAUCCAUGAAUGCAACAAGAUGCACACUUUACUAAUAACCCAGGGAAUUAAAACUAAGAAAAAAUUAUGCGUAGACCUACCAGACUGGCAGACAUUAAAAACACGGUAUCAAAUAUCAGCAGGAUGUGGAGCAGUGGAAAGCCUGGUACAUGGGUGGGCAUGCAACCACUUCUGGAACAAUCGGGCCUCAGCAAAGUCUCUACACACACACCCACACUGCUGCUCCCAGUUAAACACAAACCCAUGAGCACUGCACCAGGACACACAGUCAUGGACUCUGCAGCCACAGAAGCCAAACCCAAAACCAACCUGAAGGACAUCACAAGCAGAUGUAGAAAUGAACUAUGCACACUCAUACGAAGCAUGCUCAUGUUCACCAGUUUUCCAGCUGCCUUCCUGUAACUCACUCCCCUCAAAAGAAACCCAAAACCCUUUGCUUUGUAUGGCCCCAAAUGAGUGACAAGCUGGAGUCCUAUUCACUCUUGGGGUGACCAUCAGUGGGUGCCCCCCUGCAUAUGUGCGACAUCACGAAUGCGUCUGUGAACUGACACGAUCCUAAUGAACUUGUGUGUGCCUUUCUCUUGUUGAUCUGUCCUUGGCCCGUCUUGUGUUUGGGGCCCCCUCCAGAGAACCCAAGAUGGGCAGAGAAAAAGAUGUUCUCUCCUCCUCUGCAGCGAGACCCUCCCUCGAUAUGUGGUCACCCCAGAAACCUGGUCAGCCCAGGUACCUGGUCACCCUGGAUAUCUGAUUGGUUCCUCAUCCUCCACCACCCCCCGCCAGGUGAUGUCUGAUUGCAAGGAUCCCGGUAGAUCAGUUUAGCCAGAAUCCCCGCUGACCCCCAAUGUAUACUCUUAGCAAGAGUCCAUCUCUGCCCCUUCAUUUUGCUCGUUGGCUGUAAACCCCUUGCCCACGCUGAAUUCAGAAUGGAGCCUGGUUCUAUACAGAGGCUUCU